AACGUAGGUGCCAAGCGUUGUCCGGAUUCACUGGGCGUAAAGCGCGUGCAGGCGGUCCGGUAAGUCGGGCGUGAAAUCCCCUGGCUUAACUAGGAGAGGGCGUCCAGUACUGCCGGGCUAGAGGAUGGUAGAGGAAGAUGGAAUUCCCGGUGUAGUGGUGAAAUGCGUAGAUAUCGGGAGGAACACCAGUGGCGAAGGCGAUCUUCUGGACCAUUCCUGACGCUCAGACGCGAAAGCUAGGGUAGUAAACGGG
rnacentral:rRNA from 1 species